rnacentral:rRNA from 1 species
UACGGGGGGGGCAAGCGUUGUUCGGAAUUACUGGGCGUAAAGGGCUCGUAGGCGGCCAACUAAGUCGGAUGUGAAAUCCCCAGGCUCAACCUGGGAACUGCAUCCGAUACUGGAUGGCUUGAAUUCGGGAGAGGGAUGCAGAAUUCCAGGUGUAGCGGUGAAAUGCGUAGAUAUCUGGAGGAAUACCGGUGGCGAAGGCGGCAUCCUGGGAUAACACUGACGCUCAUGCACGAAAGCGUGGGGAGCAAACAGG